UAGCAGAUAGCCUCAAUCUUCAUAACCGAGUGUCGCAACUGAGCCGCAUGUGAAGUUUAUCAUAAAUUUAUGUUCUAGAUACAAACGUGUUAGCACAAAAGUUAUUGGAGGUCGCGUCGCUCCUCCAGGGGCGACACGGGCGGAAGCCCCAAAUCCCGCCGGCCUCCCCUCCUCCCUGCCCUCUCCCCUCGCCACCGUCGAAGGACAUGGCCGGGCGAAGCCCGUCGCCUGGACGGCGGUGGCGGGGCUUCCCCAUCUCGCGGCGACGCGGGUGUGGCCGAUCUGGUGCGGCGGCCACGGUGGUGGUCCUCGGUGCAUCUUGCGCGAGAGCUCGGCUGGGCGCGGAUCUGGGGCCGCUCUGCCCGGAUCUGCGCGUGGUGGGCGCGGCGGGGGCUCUUUGUGGCGGCUCUGCUCCUGCCCUGCUUGGCCGGAGGCAGCCUGCAAGGCCGGGCCAGCGUCCUUUUCUGCCGAGGUUUGAGCUGCUAGUCUCCCCGGGGCAGUGGCCUCUACGUGGUGUAAGGGGUCCUGCCGGUGAUGUGUCUCGCAGUGCUACUCCCUCCCAGAUCCGGUAUUGCAUGCGCCUUGGGCAGGUUGGAUUCACUUCGAUCCGGCUUGUGGUGGUAUGAUUAGUCCAUGGGCGGCCAUGGUCACUUGUGGUGGUGCAGAUCAGCUCUCACCUCACUCAACCGGCCUUCGGGAGUGUGUCAGAUCAACUUGGGCGAAAGCCUUGCUACAGCUGGAGCCGGCGGCGGCGACGCCUGUGGGCGCCGCUAACCUCCUUGGAGGCGUCGUUGUUUUUGUUGUUUGAACCCUCCUCGUCGAGACCCCGGGGGAAACCCCAGUCCAGGUCCUCCUGUACGGAUGAUGGCGGCGCAACCAGCGUCGCAACCCUUCUUGAAGGCGUCAUCUUUGGGGUCAACAUGGUUGUUGUGUGGGUGUUGCUUGCUGCCGGAAUGUUGGUGGUGGUGGUGCGGCCGGUUGGGGUCGACGGUGGUUUCUGUUGCUGUUGUCCUGCUUCCUUUGUGUUCGUCUUCGUUGGUGUUCCCUGGUGUCGGCCAUGUUGCUGUGCAUGUUCAAGUACCUCCCUUGGUGGCCAUUGUGUUGCGGUGAGCUUAGUGCUCUUGGUGUUGUUCUGGUUCAUCUUUGCUCUUCGACGGCGCAAGAUGCCUCCCCAACUUGCUAAUCGUUUCGAAUUCUCAUGGCGGAGCUCCCAGUCAAGGUUCGUGUUAUCACUCGUUGGUUGUGGUUGCUCCUGAGUAGUGUCGCGAGGUUCGGUAUGCACGCCGGUUCGGUGCGUUAGGUUGCUUGCUUAGUCUUGGUAUUGUGAUCCUUCGACGACACCCCACUUCUACUUGUGCCUCCUAUGGUGUUCGUCCUUCGAUCUGAUAGCUAGGUCAGGCCUUGUCCUGGGCGUCCUUUUUUCUCAUCUCUUGUAAUCUUCUUACUUGUAUGGUUUUCUGACCCGGUUUUCCUCAUAAACGGGGUCAACUUGUUUAGGUUUUCGAUCCAGUUUUCCUUAUAAACUGAAUCAGCCAAAGCUUAAGGGGUGACUCUUGGCUUUGGCAGCUUUUUGAGCAAUAUAUUCAGGUGGGGAUUUCUCCCCCCGGUGACCGUUCAAAAAAAAGUUAUUGGAGCUAACCAAUUCCUUCCCAAAGACGGAUAAACCUGAACAUUUGGCUUCUGUAUCUGGUGACGAAUUGAACAGUUGUGCUCACAUAGGAAUCCACACCGGAGCACUUACCACUCCAUACAAUUAGAUAGGUCAAUCUCACAAUGAAAAACAUACAAGGACUCUUCAAACCACAGAUCCCGAAGCUUAUACAGAACUAACUACAGAAGGUAGAAGGGUACUUCAAAAUCUUCACUCAGAAAAAGAAACGAAGCCACUCUCAGUGAACUAGAUGCAGAUCCUACAAAAAAAAGUAAUCCGUGUACCUGGUCAAAAGCAUAUGUUUUGAGACAUGUACUGCCAACAGAGAUCACAAGUGCACUUGGACUGUCUACUGGGACUCUUCAUGAAUCCACCCUCGAUAUAAGAGGUUGGAUUGAGAUAGAAGUACACCCAAGUGAGGGCAAUGCUUUUGCAAAUAAGUAGAGAUUCUAUGGGGACACUGCACCCACCACAUACCACUUUUGAGUAUCGUGACUUUUUGUUGAUUUGUGGCUCCUAUUUUUUUCCUACGGGUUACUUUGGUAAAAGAUUUGCCAUAUCGGGGGGGUAGCCAAGAGAUAUUAACUUUUAUGUUUGUCAAUUCUAAUUUGAGCAAUAUUUUGUGAGAGCUAAGAUGAUUAGAAGUUUUA